rnacentral:rRNA from 1 species
GAUGAACGCUGGCGGCGUGCCUAAUACAUGCAAGUCGAGCGAACGGACGAGAAGCUUGCGUCUCUGAUGUUAGCGGCGGACGGGUGAGUAACAAGUGGAUAACAUACCUAUAAGACGGGGAUAACAACGGGAAAACGGAGCUAAUACCGGAUAAUAUUUUGAACCGCAUGGAGCAAAAGUGAAAGACGGUCUUGCUGUCACAUAGAGAUGGAGCCGCGCUGCAUUAGCUAGUUGGUAAGGUAACGGCUCACCAAGGCAACGAUGCAUAGCCGACCUGAGAGGGUGAUCGGCCACACUGGAACUGAGACACGGUCCAGACUCCUACGGGAGGCAGCAGUGGGGAAUCUUCCGCAAUGGGCGCAAGCCUGACGCAGCCACGCCGCGUGAGUGAUGAAGGUCUUCGGAUCGUAAAACUCUGUUAUUAGGGAAGAACAUAUGUGUAAGUAACUGUGCACAUCUUGACGGUACCUAAUCAGAAAGCCCCGGCUAACUACGUG